rnacentral:rRNA from 1 species
AACGAACGCUGGCGGCAUGCCUAACACAUGCAAGUCGAACGAGACCUUCGGGUCUAGUGGCGCACGGGUGCGUAACGCGUGGGAACCUGCCCUUAGGUUCGGAAUAACUCCCCGAAAGGGGUUCUAAUACCGGAUAAUGUCUUCGGACCAAAGAUUUAUCGCCUUUGGAUGGGCCCGCGUUGGAUUAGCUAGUUGGUAGGGUAAAAGCCUACCAAGGCGACGAUCCAUAGCUGGUCUGAGAGGAUGAUCAGCCACACUGGGACUGAGACACGGCCCAGACUCCUACGGGAGGCAGCAGUGGGGAAUAUUGGACAAUGGGCGCAAGCCUGAUCCAGCAAUGCCGCGUGAGUGAUGAAGGCCUUAGGGUUGUAAAGCUCUUUUACCCGGGAUGAUAAUGACAGUACCGGGAGAAUAAGCUCCGGCUAACUCCGUG